CUGACAAAUCAAUGCUGUUUGGUUUCAGCAUCCGUAUUGCAUCAAAUGGCGACUGCGUUAACUGUUAGAUCUGAAAGUAAGAGAUGUUCUAUGGGUGACGUCACACUCACUGUCCAGUUCUCUGAUACAGACAGUGGUUUUGACUCAGGGAGUCUAGAAUCUGAGGCUGACAUCUUGUGGACAAAAGCUGCAGAGCAGGCAGAAAGCUGGAGUUCUGGUGUUAAUGGGGCCUGACUGGUUCUCCCUGAACAGGUCACCAGUCUGCUCCAGAACCACACACGAACUCACAUUCACAACAGUUUAGAGACGCCGCUGAAGCAAUGAGCCAGUCUGUGGACUAAAAGCUGGAGAAACCCCACAGAUGCACAAGGAGAUCAAGCAUCUGCCACAAGAGAGAGCCUGCUGGGAUACAACCAUUUACUGAAGACAGUAGAAGCAGCGCAGGGAGGAGUUUAUUUACUCGAAAACAAACAGUCUGGUUCCUGUUCUUCACGUGGGUUUACCAUGAACACAACAAAAACAUCACGAGCUCGCGAGGACAAGUCUCGGACGCGUGCUCUUCUCUCACCGCCUUUCCGGAGUCUGCGAAUCGCCACGGAGUCUUUCAGAACCAGAGCUCGGUUCGGCUUCAGGACCGGUUUUCCGUUCUGCCGGCUCAGCAGCCGCGCAACCUUGUCCUGGACCGACAUCUCCCCGCUGCUGGUGCGGACAAAUGUACCGGAACUACCGGAGUGGCUGCAGGCUCUGUCGCUGCAGUACCGCCACCUGCUGGACCGGAGUGGAAAUGCUCAAAUCCAUUCUGUAAUUUACUGUUUAUUUUAUAUGAACACAAGUCCCUUGUGAUUAUUUUGUGAAUUUUUUUUAAUUUAUUUAAACGAAAAAACACUCGCCCUUUGCUGAAUAUCUUUUUGAUUUUUUUCUCUGAUUAUUUUAAAUGUCUUAAACACAUUUUUUACAAAAACAAGAAAACGUCUUUCAUUUAUCAAAAUAUAUCAAAACUAUUGUUCUUUUAAACUGUAUCUUGCUUUACCCUUACCUAUUUUUAUCUGUUGUUCUUAUUUUUUGUAUACUCUGCCAUUUUUGUUUUUUUAUAAACUCAUUUCAGAUGUUUGCUCACCCUAACUUGGUUUGUAUCUGAAUAAAUGAAGUUUAAAAAAUAAAAAAAACUACAACACAAUUCCCCUUAUGACAAUUACAACAACAACAAAAAAACAUUCCCAGUGGUGUUUUAAUUGUGAUUAUGAAACUCAACAUAAAUGCCUUUAAAAGCCG